rnacentral:rRNA from 1 species
ACCUCGGAUCAGGUAGGGAUACCCGCUGAACUUAAGCAUAUCAAUAAGCGGAGGAAAAGAAACCAACAGGGAUUACCUCAGUAACGGCGAGUGAAGCGGUAACAGCUCAAAUUUGAAAGCUAGCUCUUUUAGGGUUCGCAUUGUAAUUUGUAGAAGAUGCUUCGGGUGUGGCCCCGGUCUAAGUUCCUUGGAACAGGACGUCAUAGAGGGUGAGAAUCCCGUAUGUGACUGGGUGCUUUCGCUCAUGUGAAGCUCUUUCGACGAGUCGAGUUGUUUGGGAAUGCAGCUCAAAAUGGGUGGUAAAUUUCAUCUAAAGCUAAAUAUUGGCCAGAGACCGAUAGCGCACAAGUAGAGUGAUCGAAAGAUGAAAAGCACUUUGGAAAGAGAGUUAAACAGUACGUGAAAUUGUUGAAAGGGAAGCGCUUGCAACCAGACUUGCGCGCUGAUGAUCAUCCGGGCUUCUGCCCGGUGCACUCGUCUGCGCUCAGGCCAGCAUCGGUUUCGGUGGUGGGAUAAAGGCCUUGGGAAUGUAGCUCCUCUCGGGGAGUGUUAUAGCCCUCGGUGCAAUGCCGCCUANC